rfam:Moniliophthora roreri MCA 2997 sctg_0219_0006, whole genome shotgun sequence.
GGGGGUAUAGCUCAGCUGGGAGAGCAGCAGACUGAAGUGACAGAAAAAUGAGUCAUUCUGAAGGUCCCGCGUUCGAUCCGCGGUACCCCCA